rnacentral:sRNA from 1 species
AUUCUAAAACAAUGCUUGAACAAGUAAUUUUGGAUCCGUAAUAUAGCCCAAAUCACAAAAAUACCCGAAAAAGUACUUAAAGGUCAAAAUUUGGGGUCGACAAAAAGUCAAUGAAAAAGUUCCUUUGUCCUGCUUCUUUCGUCGGAGGGCUCUCUUUGGGCUAUUCGAAAAGGUAUCACAUGCCAAGUUUGGCCUCACGGUAUAAAAGUUAUAGAGUCCUAAAGUUUUAACCAAAAAAAACAAAUUAAAAAAAAAGAGGGAUGCAACACGAGGACUUCCCGGGAGGUCACCCAUCCUAGUACUACUCUCGCCCAAGCACGCUUAACUAAAUGUCAAAAUUUGGAGUCGACAAAAAAUCAAUUGAUAUGUUCCAUUGUCCUGCUACUUUCAUCGGAGGGCUCUCUUUGGGCUUUCCGAAAAUGUAUCACAUGCCAAGUUUGGCCUCACUGUAUAAAAGUUAUACAGUCAUAAAGUUUUAACCAAAGAAAAAUAUUAAAAAAAAAGGGAUGCAACACGAGGACUUCCCUGAGGUCACCAAUCCUAGUACUACUCUCGCCCAAGCACGCUUAACUACGGAGUUUUGAUGGGAUCUGGUGUAUUAGUGCUGGUAUAAUCUCAUCCGUUAGUAUAGGCAAUGCAAUGGUGUAUAUUCUUUUUUGAAGACUUGAUGAACCAUUCGUCGUGGGUCCCACCCGCUGUGUAGGGAUACCCCAUCUAGUCUUAACGAGCUUUGAUCAUGAAAAAAAUUCUAAAACAAUGCUUGAACAAGUAAUUUUGGGUCCGUAAUAUAGCCCAAAUCACAAAAUACCCGAAAAAGUACUUAAAGGUCAAAAUUUGGGAUCGACAAAAAGUCAAUGGAAAAGUUCGUUUGUCCUGCUUCUUUCGUCGGAGGGCUCUUUUUGGGCUUUCCGAAAAGGUAUCACAUGCCAAGUUUGGCCUCACGGUAUAAAAGUUAUAGAAUCAUAAAGUUUUAACCAAAAAAAACAAAUUAAAAAAAAAGAGGGAUGCAACACGAGGACUUCCCGGGAGGUCACCCAUCCUAGUACUACUCUCGCCCAAGCACGCUUAACUAAAGGUUAAAAUUUGGAGUCGACAAAAAAUCAAUGGAUAUGUUCCAUUGUCCUGCUUCUUUCAUCGGAGAGCUCUCUUUGGGCUUUCCGAAAAGGUAUCACAUGCCAAGUUUGGCCUCACUGUAUAAAAGUUAUAGAGUCAUAAAGUUUUAACCAAUGAAAAAAAUUAAAAAAAAAGAGGGAUGCAACACGAGGACUUCCCGGGAGGUCACCCAUCCUAGUACUACUCUCGCCCAAGCCCCCUUAACUGCGGAGUUCUGAUGGGAUCCGGUGUAUUAGUGUUGGUAUGAUCUUAUCUGUUAGUAUAUGCAAUGCAAUCGUAUAUAUUCUUUUUGGAAGAAUUGAUGAACCAUUCGCCGUGGGUCCCACCCGCUGUGUAGGGAUACCCCAACUAGUCUUAACGAGCUUUGAUGCAUGAAAAAAUUCUAAAACAAUGCUUGAACAAGUUAUUUUGGGUCCGUAAUCUAGCCCAAAUCACAAAAAUGCCCGAAAAAGUACUUAAAGGUCAAAAUUUGUGGUCGGCAAAAAGUCAAAGGAAAAGUUCGUUUGUCCUGUUUCUUUCGUCGGAGGGUUCUCUUUGGGAUUUCCGAAAAGGUAUCACAUGCCUAGUUUGGCCUCACGGUAUAAAAGUUAUAGAGUCAUAAAGUUUUAACCAAAAAAAACAAAUUAAAAAAAAAGAGGGAUGCAACACGAGGACUUCCCGGGAGGUCACCCAUCCUAGUACAAUAUUCGCCCAAGCACGCUUAACUGCGGAGUUCUGAUGGGAUCUCGUGUAUUAGUGCUGGUAUGAUCGCAUACGUUAGUAUAUGCAAUGCAAUCGUAUAUAUUCUUUUUUGAAGACUUGAUGAACCAUUCGUCGUGGGUCGCACCCGCUA